rnacentral:rRNA from 1 species
UACGUAGGGGGCGAGCGUUGUCCGGAUUUAUUGGGCGUAAAGAGCUCGUAGGCGGCUGUUCGAGUCGGGUGUGAAACCCCAGGGCUUAACUCUGGGCCUGCAUUCGAUACUGGGCGGCUUGAGUCUGGUAGGGGGAUCUGGAAUUCCUGGUGUAGCGGUGGAAUGCGCAGAUAUCAGGAGGAACACCGGUGGCGAAGGCGGGAUCCUGGGCCAGUACUGACGCUGAGGAGCGAAAGCGUGGGGAGCGAACAGG